rnacentral:siRNA from 1 species
CAUUACCACAUUAUAAACCCAGA